rnacentral:rRNA from 1 species
GCAGUCGGGGGAAUCCCAGCAAUGGGGGAACCGGCGUAAGGGGCAGUAAUGCGUGGGUACCUACCUUAGGGUUCGGGAUAGCCAUCAGAGAUGGUGGGUAAUACCGGAUGACGUCGUGAGACCAAAGAUUUAUCGCCCCGAGAGGGGCCCACGUGAUAUUAGCUAGUUGGUGAGGUAACGGCUCACCAAGGCGAAGAUGUCUAGCGGGUGUGAGAGCACGACCCGCGCCACUCGCACUGAGACACUGGCGAGACACCUACGGGUGGCUGCAGUCGAGGAUCUUCGGCAAUGAGCGCAAGCUUGACCGAGCGACGCCGCGUGAGCGAUGAAGGCCUUCGGGUUGUAAAGCUCUUUAGUGGGGGAGAAAAGCCCGCAAGGGUGUGAUCUAUCCCAAAAAUAAGCACGGGCUAAGUUCGUGCCAGCAGCCGCGGUAAGACGAACCGUGCGAACGUUGUUCGGAAUCACUGGGCUUAAAGGGCGCGUAGGCGGGCUGACAAGUCUGGGGUGAAAUGCCGCGGCUCAACCGUGGAACUGCCUUAGAUACUGUCGGCCUCGAGGAAGGUAGGGGCAUGCGGAACUGUAGGUGGAGCGGUGAAAUGCGUUGAUAUCUACAGGAACUCCGGUGGCGAAAGCGGCGUGCUGGACCUUUUCUGACGCUGAGGCGCGAAAGCUAGGGGAGCAAACGGGAUUAGAUACCCCGGUAGUCCUAGCCCUAAACGAUGGGUACUAGGUAGUAGACUAGACAUGGGUUUACUGCCGAAGCUAAAGUGCUAAG